rnacentral:rRNA from 1 species
UCCUACAGGGGCAAUGACGGGUCACGGGGAAUUCGGCUUCGAUUCCGGAGAGGGAGCCCGUGAAACGGCUACCACAUCUACGGAAGGCUGCGGGCGCGCAAAUUACCCAUUCCUGACACAGGGAGGUAGUGACAAGAAAUAUCAUUACGGGGGUUAAUGUCUUGUAAUUUGAAUGAUGGGAAUUUAAACCUCUUCCAGAGUUUCAAUCGGAGGGCAAGUCUGGUGCCCGCCGCCGCGGUAGUUCAAGCUCCAAUAGCGUAUAUUAAAAUUGUCGCAGAUAAAAAGGUUAUAGUUGAACUUAUGAUGCGUUGCUCUGCUCCUUACGAGCAUCUGCAAUUUGCCUUUCUUUCCCUGUUAUAA